rnacentral:tRNA from 1 species
AAAAGCUUAGGAUUAAUAUUAAACCAGUGGCCUUCAACACCACAAACAAGGGAGGACCCUUAGCUUUU